UAGCAUAUCAAUAAGCGGAGGAAAAGAAACUAACAAGGAUUCCCCUAGUAACUGCGAGUGAAGCGGGAAAAGCUCAAAUUUAAAAUCUGGCAGUCUUUGGCUGUCCGAGUUGUAAACUAGAGAAGUGCUAUCCGCGCUGGACCGUGUACAAGUCUCCUGGAAUGGAGCGUCAUAGAGGGUGAGAAUCCCGUCUUUGACACGGACUACCAGGGCUUUUGUGAUGUGCUCUCAAAGAGUCGAGUUGUUUGGGAAUGCAGCUCAAAAUGGGUGGUAAAUUCCAUCUAAAGCUAAAUAUUGGCGAGAGACCGAUAGCGAACAAGUACCGUGAGGGAAAGAUGAAAAGAACUUUGGAAAGAGAGUUAAACAGUACGUGAAAUUGCUGAAAGGGAAACGCUUGAAGUCAGUCACGUUGUCCAGGGAUCAACCUUGCUUUUGCUUGGUGCACUUUCUGGUUGACGGGUCAGCAUCAAUUUUGAUCAUUGGAAAAAGGUCAAGGGAAUGUGGCAUCUUAGGAUGUGUUAUAGCCCUUGGUUGCAUACAAUGGUUGGGAUUGAGGAACUCAGCACGCCGCAAGGCCGGGUUUUUAACCACGUACGUGCUUAGGAUGCUGGCAUAAUGGCUUUAAUCGACCCGUCUUGAAACACGGACCAAGGAGUCUAACAUGCCUGCGAGUGUUUGGGUGGAAAACCCGAGCGCGUAAUGAAAGUGAAAGUUGAGAUCCCUAUCGUGGGGAGCAUCGACGCCCGGACCAGACCUUUUGUGACGGUUCCGCGGUAGAGCAUGUAUGUUGGGACCCGAAAGAUGGUGAACUAUGCCUGAAUAGGGUGAAGCCAGAGGAAACUCUGGUGGAGGCUCGUAGCGAUUCUGACGUGCAAAUCGAUCGUCAAAUUUGGGUAUAGGGGCGAAAGACUAAUCGAACCAU
rnacentral:rRNA from 1 species